UACAGAGGUCCCAAGCGUUGUUCGGAUUCACUGGGCGUAAAGGGUGCGUAGGUGGCUUGGUAAGUUUGAUGUGAAAUCUCCGGGCUUAACCCGGAAAUGGCAUUGAAUACUAUUGAGCUGGAGGUUUGGAGGGGGGACUGGAAUUCUCGGUGUAGCAGUGAAAUGCGUAGAUAUCGUGAGGAAGACCAGUGGCGAAGGCGGAUCUCUGGACAGCUCCUGACGCUGAGGCGCGAAGGCUAGGGGAGCAAACGGG
rnacentral:rRNA from 1 species